GAUGAACGCUGGCGGCGUGCCUAAUACAUGCAAGUCGAGCGAACGGACGAGAAUCUUGCUUCUCUGAUGUUAGCGGCGGACGGGUGAGUAACACGUGGAUAACCUACCUAUAAGACUGGGAUAACUUCGGGAAACCGGAGCUAAUACCGGAUAAUAUUUUGAACCGCAUGGUUCAAAAGUGAAAGACGGUCUUGCUGUCACUUAUAGAUGGAUCCGCGCUGCAUUAGCUAGUUGGUAAGGUAACGGCUUACCAAGGCAACGAUGCAUAGCCGACCUGAGAGGGUGAUCGGCCACACUGGAACUGAGACACGGUCCAGACUCCUACGGGAGGCAGCAGUAGGGAAUCUUCCGCAAUGGGCGAAAGCCUGACGGAGCAACGCCGCGUGAGUGAUGAAGGUCUUCGGAUCGUAAAACUCUGUUAUUAGGGAAGAACAUAUGUGUAAGUAACUGUGCACAUCUUGACGGUACCUAAUCAGAAAGCCACGGCUAACUACGUG
rnacentral:rRNA from 1 species